rnacentral:rRNA from 1 species
AGAGUUUGAUCAUGGCUCAGGACGAACGCUGGCGGCGUGCCUAACACAUGCAAGUCGAGCGAAGUUUUUAAAGUGGAUCCCUUCGGGGUGAAACUUUAAUUAUCUUAGCGGCGGACGGGUGAGUAACGCGUGAGAAACCUGCCUUUCACAAAGGGAUAGCCUCGGGAAACUGGGAUUAAUACCUUAUGAUACUUCUACUUCACAUGAAGAAGAGGUUAAAGCGUAAAGCGGUGAAAGAUGGUCUCGCGUCCCAUUAGCUAGUUGGUGAGAUAACAGCUCACCAAGGCGACGAUGGGUAGCCGGCCUGAGAGGGUGAACGGCCACACUGGAACUGAGACACGGUCCAGACUCCUACGGGAGGCAGCAGUGGGGAAUAUUGCACAAUGGAGGAAACUCUGAUGCAGCGACGCCGCGUGAACGAUGAAGGCUUUAGGGUCGUAAAGUUCUGUCCUAGGGGACGAUAAUGACGGUACCCUAGGAGGAAGCCCCGGCUAACUACGUGCCAGCAGCCGCGGUAAUACGUAGGGGGCAAGCGUUGUCCGGAUUUAUUGGGCGUAAAGGGUUCGCAGGUGGUCCUUUAAGUCAGAUGUGAAAGAUCACAGCUCAACUGUGGUAAGCAUUUGAAACUGAAGGACUUGAGUUAAGGAGAGGAAAGUGGAAUUCCUAGUGUAGCGGUGAAAUGCGUAGAUAUUAGGAGGAAUACCAGUGGCGAAGGCGACUUUCUGGACUUAUACUGACACUGAGGAACGAAAGCGUGGGGAGCAAACAGGAUUAGAUACCCUGGUAGU